AAAACAAUGUUUAAAACCGUUAAAAACCGGCCGUUUUUGAUAAGACGCAGCUACAUUGGAAGUUGGAUCACGUUGAAUGGGCACGUGUAUAUGGUCAGCUAUCAAACUGUUAAUCAAACUUUUGCGGGGGCUAUUCAAGAAUGUUGCAGUAUUGGCAUGCGUCUUAUUAGUCUUGACAUGACCUUUAAAUAUGAAGCAUUGAUUAAUGCAAUAAAAA